rnacentral:rRNA from 1 species
AGCGUAGACGGUGUGGCAAGUCUGAUGUGAAAGGCAUGGGCUCAACCUGUGGACUGCAUUGGAAACUGUCAUACUUGAGUGCCGGAGGGGUAAGCGGAAUUCCUAGUGUAGCGGUGAAGUGCGUAGAUAUUAGGAGGAACACCAGUGGCGAAGGCGGCUUACUGGACGGUAACUGACGUUGAGGCUCGAAAGCGUGGGGAGCAAACA